CUUGUCCUCGCCAAUCGUGUUUGCAAAACUGGAUGCGUAAAGCUUGUCUGUCACUGCUGACCCAGGAUUUGCCAAAACAAGCUUGUACAAAAGGAACAACUUACGGAGUUCAAGGUUAACAAAGGACAAAAGUAGAGAGUCUCACGUGACAUUUCAACUAUCAAAAACUGGAUUUUUGUGCGGUAGUCUCCUUUUUCUUGUUCUUCUUCGUCCAUCAACCAUCUUAAUGUCCUGCAAGAGAAUAAUUCUUAAGCAUCACGAAUAGUUCCCAUAAGAUAUUGGAUAGAAAUUGGGUAUUCUUCUUCUCAUGAGUAACAAUUGCUUGCAUUUUUACAUGCACAUCUAAAUUUAGUCUUGUGGUAAGUAUCAUAUAUAGUGUUACCUAACAUGUUUUGAAUCACACACCUGUCCUCCUUAGUACUUGGGCUUAAUUUAAGUUGUUUCCAAAAUAAUAAAUUAAAUCACUGUACAUACUGGAUUGGUUUCACUUAAACUCGAGUCUGGAUAUAUAGAACAAUUUCUCAUCUAUCUAUAAAUGUACAAAUGAAGGAGGAGGACGUCUUUACCUUUCUUUAACAUAAUUGGAGUUGGAAAAAUAUAUUGCAGAAUCGACUCUUACAAUCAGUACACCUGGAAUCUUACUAGCUUCUGGAUAUUGUUGAAUGUUUCUGUAGACAGUAGUCCUAGGAAUCUUCCCUAGAAUAGCAGUUCGGGGCCUUGUGACUUGUAAUAGGAUCUUUGCAAAGGAAAUAGAGACCUGCCAUAAAGUAUUAAUUAGCAAUUAAUAUACGAAAUGAACAAGACUAGCUUUGACAUUUAGAGCAUAAAUAACUAAGCAUUAAUUAUAGUAGUACUUACAGCAAUUAGAAGUCCUAUCUCAACCGAGACAAAAACAACCCCAAAGAAGGCACCCAUGCAAGCAACAAAAUCAAAUUUAUCUAUCUUCCAAAUCAAAAUUGCUGCCUCAUAGUCUACAAGGCUGAUGACAGCAGAAAUGAUGAUGGCAGAAAGAAUGGCAUUUGGGGUGUACUUGAAAAGAGGAGUGAUGAAUUCCAGGGUUAAUAACACAACCACUGACAUCACAAUAUUAGAGACUGCAGUUUGGCAGCCUGCCAUGUAAUUUACCGCGGACCGAGAGAAAGAACCUGAAGUUGAUAACAAGUUAGAUUCAUAAACCUAGCUUGUCUUUGAGCUUACCUGUUGCUACAUAACACGAAGUCAGGGAACCAACAACAUUCAUUGUUCCUAAUGCCACCAUUUCUUUGUUUCCAUCCAAUUGAUAGUCCUUCAUAGAUGCAAAUGUUCUUCCAAUUGCUGUGGCUUCCUGUGACAACAAAAAUAAAAUGAUUCAAUUAAACUAUAGGAAUAAAUGGCCAAUACUCAUCAAGAGAGGUAUUGGUGUCAAAGUUACUUACAGUCAAUGCUAUCAUGCCAGCCACGAUGCCAAUUUUAAAACCUUUUCCAAGGUAUUCUCCGGUAAAAUAAAUAUCUUUAACAGAUGAAGGAUUGAUGCCUUUUUCUAUUUUUCUUACCUUCACAUAUCAAUAGACAAAAAGUUUAGUAAUGCUGUAACUAAUAUUGUGUCACUCUUACCAUCACUAUUCCAUAAAAUACACUAAUGGUCUGCAAUGUUUACGAUGAAAAUGGAAGUCUAUUUUCUUA